rnacentral:lncRNA from 1 species
GCGCAAAUGAAGCGUUGUUUUUGCAGUUAUUGAUUUCACUUGUGUGGAUUGCAGACGCUAUCUAGAAAGAUAGACACAAUGGUCUAAAUUGUGCUACAGGCUUGAGAAAGAUGAGGGCUUACAUAGCUUUACAGCACAUGAUGUGAAUGCAAAUAUGUCGAUAUAUUGUCGAUUGAUGUUCCCAACACAGAAGAAAAGUUAAAAAUGGCAGUUUUGAUUAUUUCAAAAACUCUUGCAAUUGAAAUAUUUCCCGAGAUGUGCGAUGCCAUGAUGGCUAACAUCACGGUCGCCUACACACAAUCCACAUUCUACUGAAAUCAUACAUGCUGUGAGUACCAAUAGCUAUUUUGUUGAGUAAAAAUGAUUUUUGCCUACCGAUGAGAUUUAAUAUUAACAAUGUGUACUUAUAACCAAUUACCGGCGAAUAAAAUUGAUGAGUUUUUGAUACAUAAUGGAAUUUAACACAGGUCAAUUAAAUGAAUUUACUCGAAGCGCUUGCGC